AUAUUCCGACAGGGGAGCGCCACAGCGCUGAGAGUGCGGUGACCGUCAGACCGCAGACCCUCCGAACCUGGCCCAGGUCAUUCUGGGUAGGGAGAUCGGUCGUUACUCGAG
rfam:Streptomyces sp. CC53 NODE_159_length_26678_cov_113.384590, whole genome shotgun sequence.